AUUAUUAUCUAUUUAAUUCUUAUGAAUUUAAAAUUCUAUGAAACCAAAAGACAAACCAUCCAACGUUCCAGAGCUGAGUUACAGGACAUCAGUGAAGAUUUAAGUCGGUCAUUGCAACUAAUGAACGUUAUGCUUCCGAGAUCUGUCCAGCCAAAAAUGGUGCUAUUUGCUAUUGGUGUCUAUUUUCUAAUCUCUAUAAUUGUAGGAUUGUACUAUAGAUUUAGAAAUUGAUUUCAAGUUUUGUGUAUUACACAAAAAAUACAUAGUAUUUUGGCUGGCCAUUUAAUUAAUUCUAAUAUAAGAUAUAUCUGUUGUUAAAAAUUAUUAUAAUUUUAAGACAUUUGUGGGGGGUACAAAUCUACAACAAUCAAACUUUUAAUCAAAAUAAUUAAAAACUAUGUUUUGAUAUGACUAAUUUACCCAGAGGGCCCAACUAAUAUCGCCAGGACGUCUAUCUGAGGCAAAUAGACCCUUUAAGGACAUAUACGUUCGACUUAGACGUGCCAGGUAGUUUCCAUGUUAUCCAUAGUUCGUCCAUAUACAAAAAAGAGGGCCCAACUAAUAUCGCCAGGACAUCUCUCUGAGGCAAAAAGACCUUUUAAG